AGUGAACGCUGGCGGUAGGCCUAACACAUGCAAGUCGAACGGCAGCACAGUAAGAGCUUGCUCUUACGGGUGGCGAGUGGCGGACGGGUGAGGAAUACAUCGGAAUCUACUUUUUCGUGGGGGAUAACGUAGGGAAACUUACGCUAAUACCGCAUACGACCUACGGGUGAAAGCAGGGGAUCUUCGGACCUUGCGCGAUUGAAUGAGCCGAUGUCGGAUUAGCUAGUGGGCGGGGUAAAGGCCCACCAAGGCGACGAUGCGUAGCUGGUCUGAGAGGAUGAUCAGCCACAAUGGAACUGAGACACGGUCCAGACUCCUACGGGAGGCAGCAGUGGGGAAUAUUGGACAAUGGGCGCAAGCCUGAUCCAGCCAUACCGCGUGGGUGAAGAAGGCCUUCGGGUUGUAAAGCCCUCUUGUUGGGAAAGAAAAGCAGCAGGUUAAUACCCCGCUGUUCUGACGGUACCCAAAGAAUAAGCACCGGCUAACUUCGU
rnacentral:rRNA from 1 species